AAACUGGUGAGUUGAUCCUCGUACUUUGGAAGUAUCUUUAUUCUAUGGACCUUUGUAAGCACAUUUUAGUACCAUGAUCCAUUCUGUGUUCUCUGUUUACAAUGUACUAUCAAAUGUCAUGUGUAUUUUCCCUGCUUGCUACUGGCUUUGGAGGAAAACUUAGUUCCGUCGUUUUUAAAUGUAAAUUAUCUGCCAUGAUUAAGCAAGCCAAGCUGAAGUUUUGCCUUUGUUGGGACUUCUGAAACAGACUAUCAAACAGUACUACAAAUUUGAAAUGGUGUUCUUUCCUUGCAAAUGCACAGCAAAUUUUCAGGGGCCUGCCGAUGGUUUGUUGAACAGCAAAUUUUUAGGAGUUCUGCCUGAUUUUCUUACCAUGGUUAAGAAAAUAACAUGCUGGCAAUGAUUUGUGAGUAAAGCAUGUUCCAAUUCCUCUUGGAUUGGCGCGUCGUUUUAGUAUUUUUUAUAAACAUCAUUUAUCCAUAUCAAGUAUGCUUAAUCUUGGUAUAUUCCCAUUUUUUCAUUUUCACAAAUCACUCUUUCUAUAUCGUUCACAGGCUUCUGAAGAUGCUAGGAGAAUUGUUGACGAAGAACGAACUAAUGCACGCAUGGAGAUUGAAAAUGCUAGAGCUGCUGUACAAAGAGUUCAAAAAGUACUUCAAGAGAAAGAGAACAGUUCACAAAGAAUUGGAAAGCAGGUCGACAUCGACUGAGUACGAGCGGCCGUAGGUCACAAGGGGGCGUGGAACUGCUGCAGCCCAUCUGUGACAGAGCAGACUCCUGCGAAUUUGCCCAGCUAGGUACAUCCUCUACAUGGUAGCAACUUGAAGAAAAUUCUUCCUUUUUGCUUCCAUGACCUGAUAUCCUCCUCGCUGAUGUAUCGAGGAGCCGUGACCCGGCCUCACAGGAAGGGCCAGGGCGAAGACGUAUCCCCGACGGCCAAGACACGGCCACGGUGGUGAUUUUUGAUGGUGAGACAGAGCAGACUCGAGCGACUUUGCCCAGCCAGGAGCACAUAAAAGAUAAUCAGCGUUUAUUCGCUAGCUGGAAUUAAAGGCAACGGCGAGAGAGCAAGAUCAAGGACAACUUCAAAAUUUAAGAAUAUAUGCAAG